GUCAAAUUGUCACUCAAACAAUUGGUCAAUAAUGGAGUUAUGGCCACUUUUUACAUAAAAAUACAUGUUUAUAAUAUUGGUAUUUUAACUGCUUUUUGGAUUUGAUUGAACCUUUAUUUAAGUGUAUCAUGUAUGAAUCUAAAGCAGUAGUUGUUUACAGAAUUUGGCGUUGCAAGCAUGUGGCGUGUGGUAUCAAUUUAACAAAUGUGCUUGUUUGUUUAUAUUUUUAUUAGGGAUGGCAACGAAUACCGAUUUCGGUAUUCGAAUAUUUGGUCAUCCUUCCGAACGAAUAUUCGGAUAUUCGGUCAACAUCUGUUGAAAAACUUUGUCAACUUUGUUUACCAUACUCCAUGAAUUCUACUUUACAAAACAAAAAUAAAUUGUACUUAUUUACAGUAUAACAUUAUUAGGGGCGAAGAUUUCCGACCAGAGUUCCGACAAAUUGGGGAACUGCGCAGCCUGACAGAACUGAUGUACCCUUGCUUGCAGUUACUGCUACAGCAACAGAGAAGGUACAGCAGAAUAUACACCAAGGUCUGCUGUUGUCCGACGAUGCGUUAUCCGUCGGCGUAUUACCCGACAGACCGAAUAUUCGACUGGCGGUUAGAAAUCGACUGAUCACGCUGAGGAAGAGCUGGUGUGGUUGCUGCAACAGUUUCAGACAACACCCACACUGGUCAAGACUAUAAUAUUCUGCAAGUCGUACAGGUGUGUAUAUCAAGUGUGGUCAUGGUUGGUUAUUCAACUCGGUGACACGUCUUACGACGGGGAGCACCGUAGCUACAACCGCGUUGUUGAAAUGUUUACAUCUUCAACAACGGACGCCACGAAGGAGAGGAUUCUAAAUGAUUUCCGGGCCGGAAGAGUUAGCGUUGUUGUGGCAACAGUCGCCUUUGGGCUUGGAAUCGACAUUCCGGACGUGUGGCUCGUGGUCCACUGGGGCGCACCGCGCUCUAUCCUGUCUUACUGGCAGAGCCGGUAGCGAUGGAGAUCCCGCUCUUGCUCUAGUUUUCGCGUACCCUCGGUCCAUAACGGAUUGCCAUGACGCUAUGAAGACCAUGGUGAAUGGGACGGAAUGCGUCAGACGUACCGUUCUGAAGGAGCUAAGAACUAAAGACAUGAAUCCUAUUCCUGCCCAAGGCGAUGGUUGUCAAGAUGACACAUGUGAAGUGUGUGUUUGCCAGUUGUGUAUUUGUUGUAACAGAUGCUCACGAAGCUGUACAUGUUUUGGA